CUUCCUCCACCAGUGCCAAUCUACAAGAAACCUCUCCCUCCCCACAUCCCAGUGUACAAGAAGCCUCUUCCACCACCAAUCCCAGUAUACAAGAAGCCUCUUCCACCACCAGUCCCAAUAUACAAGAAGCCUCUUCCACCACCAAUCCCAGUAUACAAGAAGCCUCUUCCACCACCAGUCCCAGUAUACAAGAAGCCACUUCCACCACCAGUCCCAAUAUACAAAAAGCCACUUCCCCCACUAGUCCCAGUAUACAAAAAGCCUCUUCCCCCACCAAUUCCCAUAUACACAAAGCCAUUUCCACCACCAGUCCCAUUCUUUAAGCCAAAGCCAAAGCCACAUCCAUUCUUUAAGCCAAAGCCAAAGCCACAUCCAUUCUUUAAGCCUCACCCUCCACUGCCAAAGAUUCCUCAUCCAUUCUUUAAGCCUCUCCCUCCAUUGCCAAAGAUUCCUCACCCAUUCUUUAAGAAGCCACCAAUCCCACCACUCCACCCAAAAUAUUACUUCCCCCACCCAAAGGAUGGCAAGUUCCCACCCAUGCCACCUUUGGUUCCUCAAUAUCC
rnacentral:lncRNA from 1 species